rnacentral:rRNA from 1 species
CGAACGCUGGCGGCGUGCCUAACACAUGCAAGUCGUGCGAGAAAGUCCUUCGGGAGCGAGUAAAGCGGCGCACGGGUGAGUAACACGUAGGUAACCUGCCCCCCAGUCUGGAACAACUAGAGGAAACUCUAGCUAAUGCCGGAUGAGACCACGAUCCCUUCGGGGGGUUGCGGCCAAAGAUGGCCUCUACUUGUAAGCUAUCGCUGAGGGAUGGGCCUGCGAGCCAUUAGCUUGUUGGUGAGGUAACGGCUCACCAAGGCUGUGAUGGCUAGCUGGUCUGAGAGGAUGACCAGCCACACUGGGACUGAGACACGGCCCAGACUCCUACGGGAGGCAGCAGUGGGGAAUAUUGCGCAAUGGGCGAAAGCCUGACGCAGCGACGCCGCGUGGGUGAUGAAGGCCUUCGGGUCGUAAAGCCCUGUCGCAGGGGAAGAAUAAGCAUCGGUAUAAUACGCCGGUGCCCUGACGGUACCCUGCAAGAAAGCACCGGCUAACUCCGUG